UUCCUGUUAUUUGAAGACUUUUCCCAACAAAAGCGCAGGCCCUUCAAUUGAUAAGGCAGGUUGGAGAAAGACCGCCAUAAUGGAGUUGCUCUUGUCAGAUGACGCAAAAGGCAAAAACUUAGAAGUGAUUCCAUUGUGAGUAUGGGCGGGAUUGGCAAAACCACUAUUGCCAAGUAUGUCUACAACGACAGCGAGGUGCAAAACUGGUUUGAUCUGGAAGCAUGGAUCUAUGUUUCACAAGAUUUCCAUGUUCUGAAGCUAACUAAUUAAAGAUAUUCUGAAGGAGGUUGGUUUGUCAGAUUGUGAUUCCAUGACUGCUAAUCAGCUCCAUAGUGAUCUCGAAAAGAAAUUGACAGGUCAGAAGCUAUUGCUUGUUUUUUAUGACGUUUGGAGAGCCGUUCAAUCAGAAUUGGACUUCCUACUCACGCCCCUGAAGUCAGGGGCACAAGGAAGCAAGAUUGUCAUCACAGCACGCGACACAAGUGUAGCAUCAGCCAUGCAAAGUGUUUCUCCUUAUCGUUUGAAGGAAAUGAGCGAUGAUGAUUGGUGGUCACUGUUUUCAGAACAUGCAUUUAGUGGUCAGAAUCUCAAUCUAGUUUCAUAGCUCAAAUAAAUGUUUCGUUCAGAAAUAGUGAGGAGGUGCAGAGGCCUGCCCUUAGCUGCGAGAUCACUUGGGAAUCUCUUGAAGUCUGAAUCAGACGGUGAGAAAUGGAAGAAUAUAAUGAAGAGCAAUCUGUGGGAUCUGCGGAAUGACAGAAUUCUUCCUGCUUUGAGAGCAAGCUAUUAUUAUUUUCCAUCACAUCUGAAACGAUGUUUUGCAUACUGUGCAAUUCUUGCAAAAGGUUUUUUUAUUUUUCAAGGAUGGAAAUUAUCCGAUUUUGGAUGGCCGAGGGUUUUUUAGUCAUGUGAGGAAAUAACGUGAUGGAAGAACCAGGAUGUGAGGUUCUAGAAGAUCUUUUGUGCUGAUCUUUUUCUCAAGUGCCUCCCUCUAAAUACGUUUCCCAAGUUAAAGCAACUUCAGAUCGGGAGAUGUCCAAAUCUCGAAUUCCUUUGUGCACAAGAGGAACCUCUCAAAAACUCCACAUCUAUCAGUUCCACGAAAAUCUGUGAGUAUCCAAGUCUGGAAGAACUUUCAUUACGCCAUUGCCCAAAUUUGAAAUCAGUGCAUUGCUUCCUCCCUUCCCUUGUAAAACUUAAUAUAGACUAUUGUGAUGAACUUGAGUCAUUUCUUGGGUUAGGUUUGUCAAAGAAUGAAUUUAAUUUAAAAGCUUAAGUUAUUAGGUGAGAUUUCAAGAUAUAAUUUAUAUUAUUCUCUAACACAUUUUCUCAGAUGAAAGUCUUUUAGACUUGAAACUUGCACAAGUACAUAUUACCUUGUGCUUAAUUUUUAUCAAAUAAAUAGAGAUGAUGAGAUUCGAACUCGUGAUCGUUUGGUCAUCAAAACUCUGAUACUAUGUUAAAUAACCAAUUCAACCUAAAAAUUUAAGUUAUUAGAUAAAAUUCUAAAAUAUGAUUUAUAUUAUUCUCUAACAGGGUUUACCAUUUUUUCCUGCAAUGGGAUUGUCUUCAAAACUAGAAUCAGUUUACAUCUGUAACUGCAACACACUCUUUGCUGGUCGCAAGCAAUGGGAUUUGCAAAGACUCCCUUCUCUUUCAAGCUUCUCUUUCAGUAGUUGUGAUUUAGUUGAAUCCUUCUCUGAAGAAGAUAUGCUCCUGCCCUCAACACUCACAUCUCUUAAAAUCUCGAGUCUUCCUGAUCUGAUAUCUCUUAACUACGAGGGGCUUCAACACCUCACCUCACUAAGAAAAUUUAAAAUCUAUUGACUGCCCUAAGCUCCGAUCCAUGCCACAACUGGGCCUGCUCUCUUCACUUUCUUAUCCAUCUAUCUCUGAAUGUCCCUUGCUGGAACAAAAGUGUCAACGGGAGACAGGAGAAGAUUGGCCCAAGAUUUCUCGCAUCCAUGAGAUAUGGAUUAAUAACCAUCAGUUCAAUCGAGGAUCAUGAGAGUCUCAAGAGCUGUUCAGGUCUAUGUGGGGGUCAAGGUCAUGCACCAAAUGUAGAUGGAAAAAAAAAUGGAUGAAAGAGGCCAUUGCAAGUUCAUGAAAAAUGCAGCAGCUCAGGAGCCAGCACAUCCAAAGUAGUAUAUUUAGUUGUGCAAGCAACAAGCUCUAUAGCUACAACUAAAGAUCACUCCCUUCUCUAUAUUGCAUCCCAAAGUUGGAAUAUCAAAUAUCAUAUGAUCAUUUGUAUCAUCUCUUCUCUUCGAUGUUCUAUUGCACAUAACAAUUUGUUAUUUUUCUAUGAACGAAUCCUCUGCUUCAUUGUACUCAUGUUAAUUGAGAUAUCCAUUUCACACUACUUCCUAUAGUUCGGAUCAACCUGGUAACCCGCCAAUCCGGAGCACAAUAAGAGCAUUAAGAAGUUAGAGUUGAGAUGGAUAGGAGAUACUAAAGUUUCGCAGUAUGAAUUAGGCAUGCUUGAGCAACUACAGCGUAACAAGAAUGUGAAAGAUCUUCUUGUUAUUGGUUAUGGGGGAACAAAACUUCUAGAUUGGGUAGGACACUCCUCUUUCUCAAAUCUAAGUAGCUCUGAGGCUUAGUAGAUGUAAAUACUGCUCCUCCUUACCGCCACUCUGUCAUGUAACAUCUCUUAAAAAGCUCUUGAUCAAAGCUUUUGAUGGAGUUGUUGUUGUUGGCUCUGAGCUAUAUGGAAGUUGUUGUUCCACACAGAUUCCAUUAACGUCUCGAAAAAACAAAGAGCUUUUUCAGGCC